CCUCCAGACUCCUACGGGAGGCAGCAGUGGGGGAUAUUGGACAAUGGGGGGAACCCUGAUCCAGCGACGCCGCGUGAGUGAAGAAGUCUUUCGGUAUGUAAAGCUCUGUCAGCAGGGAAGAAAGAAAUGACGGUACCUGACCAAGAAGCCCCGGCUAACUACGUGCCAGCAGCCGCGGUAAUACGUAGGGGGCAAGCGUUAUCCGGAAUUACUGGGUGUAAAGGGAGCGUAGACGGUUAAGUAAGUCUGGAGUGAAAGGCCGGGGCCCAACCCCGGGACUGCUCUGGAAACUAUUGAACUUGAGUGCAGGAGAGGUAAGCGGAAUUCCUAGUGUAGCGGUGAAAUGCGUAGAUAUUAGGAGGAACACCAGUGGCGAAGGCGGCUUACUGGGCCGUAAUUGACGCUGAGGAACGAAAGCCAGGGUAGCAAAUGGGAUUAGAUACCCUGGUAG
rnacentral:rRNA from 1 species